rnacentral:rRNA from 1 species
GAUAUCAGAUUAGCUUGUUGGUGAGGUAAAAGCUCACCAAGGCGACGAUCUGUAGCGGGUCUGAGAGGAUGAUCCGCCACACUGGAACUGAGGCACGGUCCAGACUCCUACGGGAGGCAGCAGUGGGGAAUUUUGGACAAUGGGGGCAACCCUGAUCCAGCCAUGCCGCGUGAGUGAAGAAGGCCUUCGGGUUGUAAAGCUCUUUCAGCCGGGAAGAAAACGCAUGGGUUAAUACCCUGUGUGGAUGACGGUACCGGAAUAAGAAGCACCGGCUAACUACGUGCCAGCAGCCGCGGUAAUACGUAGGGUGCGAGCGUUAAUCGGAAUUACUGGGCGUAAAGCGUGCGCAGGCGGUUUUGUAAGACAGGCGUGAAAUCCCCGGGCUUAACCUGGGAACUGCGUUUGUGACUGCAAGGCUAGAGUACGGCAGAGGGGGGUGGAAUUCCACGUGUAGCAGUGAAAUGCGUAGAGAUGUGGAGGAACACCAAUGGCGAAGGCAGCCCCCUGGGUCGAUACUGACGCUCAUGCACGAAAGCGUGGGUAGCAAACAGGAUUAGAUACCCUGGUAGUCCACGCCCUAAACGAUGUCAACUAGGUGUUGGGAGGGUAAAACCUUUUAGUACCGGAGCUAACGCGUGAAGUUGACCGCCUGGGGAGUACGGCCGCAAGGUUAAAACUCAAAGGAAUUGACGGGGACCCGCACAAGCGGUGGAUGAUGUGGAUUAAUUCGAUGCAACGCGAAAAACCUUACCUACCCUUGACAUGCCAAGAACUUUCCAGAGAUGGAUUGGUGCCCGAAAGGGAACUUGGACACAGGUGCUGCAUGGCUGUCGUCAGCUCGUGUCGUGAGAUGUUGGGUUAAGUCCCGCAACGAGCGCAACCCUUGUCGUUAAUUGCCAUCAUUUAGUUGGGCACUUUAACGAGACUGCCGGUGACAAACCGGAGGAAGGUGGGGAUGACGUCAAGUCCUCAUGGCCCUUAUGGGUAGGGCUUCACACGUCAUACAAUGGUCGGUACAAAGGGUCGCCAAGCCGCGAGGUGGAGCCAAUCCCAGAAAGCCGAUCGUAGUCCGGAUCGCAGUCUGCAACUCGACUGCGUGAAGUCGGAAUCGCUAGUAAUCGUGGAUCAGAAUGUCACGGUGAAUACGUUCCCGGGUCUUGUACACACCGCCCGUCACACCAUGGGAGCGGGUUCCGCCAGAAGUAGGUAGCCUAACCGCAAGGAGGGCGCUUACCA